CAGACUACAGCUUUUCACCUGUGUUCUUCUGGAAGCUGGGCAUUUGUAUACCUUCUGAGUAACUUUCGCUGCAGCCAUUUUCUGUGAUUUUCCAGCGCAACUGUGCUUGUCAGGCCAAUGAAGCUAUCAGUGCAAAGGGAACCAGUGAUCAGCAGAUACCAGAAUUGUUUUUACAGUUGGAACUGGAAACAAAAUACUGCAGGACUCCUAAGGAUGGUGAAGUCUGUCCUACUGCCACUAGCUGAAUAAAUGCAAGUUUGGUGCUACCAGCGUGCCCCCUUGCGUUCUGGGAGAGCAUGCGUGAAAAGCGAGAUGGAAAACACCCAGGAAGACACAAAUGCCAGGUUGCAAGGAAAAUCUAGGAGGACGCUGCAUUUUCACAUAGCUGGAACGUGAAGGCUGGCCUCCAGCUGCAGCCCAACAACGCAGAAGGGCCUCAGCUAACAAACCCUGCCUGUUCUUUAGAAGCAGCACAUCCACAGCAGUGGUUUCCAGUGCUAGGUAAGUACUGUUCCUUUCAAAGGCGCUAUAAAGGAGCUCUGUAGGUGUGUUACUGCAAAAUGUGUGGUUUGUGUCUUCAGGGGGGUUUAUUAGAGCUUCACUUGUAGCCUGU